AUUGAACGCUGGCGGCAGGCCUAACACAUGCAAGUCGAGCGGCAGCGGGAAGUAGCUUGCUACUUUGCCGGCGAGCGGCGGACGGGUGAGUAAUGUCUGGGAAACUGCCUGAUGGAGGGGGAUAACUACUGGAAACGGUAGCUAAUACCGCAUAAUGUCGCAAGACCAAAGAGGGGGACCUUCGGGCCUCUUGCCAUCAGAUGUGCCCAGAUGGGAUUAGCUAGUAGGUGGGGUAAUGGCUCACCUAGGCGACGAUCCCUAGCUGGUCUGAGAGGAUGACCAGCCACACUGGAACUGAGACACGGUCCAGACUCCUACGGGAGGCAGCAGUGGGGAAUAUUGCACAAUGGGCGCAAGCCUGAUGCAGCCAUGCCGCGUGUAUGAAGAAGGCCUUCGGGUUGUAAAGUACUUUCAGCGGGGAGGAAGGUGCUGAGGUUAAUAACCUCAGCAAUUGACGUUACCCGCAGAAGAAGCACCGGCUAACUCCGUGCCAGCAGCCGCGGUAAUACGGAGGGUGCAAGCGUUAAUCGGAAUUACUGGGCGUAAAGCGCACGCAGGCGGUCUGUCAAGUCGGAUGUGAAAUCCCCGGGCUCAACCUGGGAACUGCAUUCGAAACUGGCAGGCUAGAGUCUUGUAGAGGGGGGUAGAAUUCCAGGUGUAGCGGUGAAAUGCGUAGAGAUCUGGA
rnacentral:rRNA from 1 species